AUAAUCUAUGGCGCAUGCGUCAACUAUAAUGCCUAAACUUUCUACGCGGUUUUAAUCGUGAAAAAAAAACAAUUAUAAAUCCUGAAGGAUCAUUUAAUUGGAUACAGUUUAAUUAAAAAAAUUAAAAAAUAAAUAAAUAAAAUAAUGUGCAUUCGCGUAAAGUUAGCCCAAAUACAUUUUUUCCAUCCUCCUAUAUACCUAUCGCUAUGAAGGUAUAAAAAAGAUAGGUUAAGAGUUCACAUAGGUAAUAUAAACAAAUAAGUAAAUAUGUUCAUUAUUUAUCUUUCAAGAGGUAAUGUAGGUACGGUAUACAUUAUAAUAACAUUUUGACACAGUCGAAAUUAUAUUCCUAACAUUAGUAAAAUAACAUUUUAAUAUUUUUUUUAUAGGUUAUGUAUUGAAAUUGUUGGAAAAUUAUUUCAUGUUUUAGCUGGAAAACUACAUGGAGAAUUAUAUGCAAUACAAGAUAAUGAGCUCCAUUAAAUGAAUUCGAAUGAAACCAAACUGUUUACCAUCCAAAUUCGAUUGUCGGGCAGAUAGAAAACGAAAAUUCACUCAUAGUGAACCUCGGCCUGCAUUUGUGAAACGGCAAAGACUCACUAUUAUCAAGGAAAUUGAAGAGACAACUAAAAAUGAGAUGUGUCGUAUUAUUAUACCUUUGCCAUCUUGUAGUCAAGAUGUCCAGCCACUUGAAAAUAGGUGUAGUAAUGACAAAGCUAUCCAAGUAGCUCCAGCACAGGAACACAAAGGCAAGGCAAGUGUGUAUUGCCACAUCACCCCUUAAUAUAUCUGAAGCAAGUAUAAGUAAACAAUCAGAACCAGCAAAAAAAAAACUGUUGUUCCUGAGGACAAAUUUGACAGUGAUGAGUCAAAUGCACCAGCAACAGAAGGAUCAACUGUUGACUAUGAGUUAUCUCUCUAUAUCUCCACUCCAUCAAAGACUUGUGCACUUCAGACUAUAGCUCUCAAGAAGACUAAAAAGUUGAAAAAAUGAAUGUGUUAACAACUUUAUCUAAAGUGAAAAAUAAACAACGUUUAUAUAUUGGUCUUCCACAAGAAUUAUGUUUCAUAAUAGGCUUGAUUGAGAAACAUACAAAUGUUUCUGAACAAAAUAUUAUAUUAUGUCUGAUGAGAAUAACAUUAAAUAGAACAUUCUCUCAAUUGGCUGAUGAUUUCGAUUUAUCUGUAAGUCAAGCAAGCAAUAUAUUUUUCAACAAACUCCCAGAAAUUGCAAAUGUAAUAUCACCCCUUGUUAGACUAUAAAAAAAACAAUACAAUAAAUAUAUAUGCAGGAAGGAUAAUUGAUGUCAACUUGGUGGAAAAUAGAAAGUUUUUAGAUAGUUUGCCACCUACAAAACUCUUUAAUUAAAUAAGUAAUCCUUACUUAUAAUUGAGGAAGUUUUGUAAGUAUUUUCACUCUUCAUUCAAAAACUACUGAACAGAUUUUAAUAAGACUUUUAUGCUGGUCUUCUAUGGCUAGCAACUCAUUAUUAUUUUGAUUCUGUUUUCCACAAAUGUGCUAAAUAUGGGCUUAUAUAUAUGAAAAGGAAUAAAUAUUAAUGUUAUGUAACCUUUGUACCUGUAUGUUAAGAAUAAUUUUUAAUAAAACAUAAUUUAAAUUGAAA